rnacentral:rRNA from 1 species
AUUGAACGCUGGCGGCAUGCUUUACACAUGCAAGUCGAACGGUAACAGGUUAAGCUGACGAGUGGCGAACGGGUGAGUAAUGCAUCGGAACGUGCCCGAUCGUGGGGGAUAACGCAGCGAAAGCUGCGCUAAUACCGCAUACGAUCUGAGGAUGAAAGCGGGGGACCGUAAGGCCUCGCGCGAUCGGAGCGGCCGAUGUCAGAUUAGGGAGUUGGUGGGGUAAAGGCCCACAAAGCCGACGAUCUGUAGCUGGUCUAAGAGGACGACCAGCCACACUGGGACUGGGAGACGGCCCAGACUCCGACGGGAGGCAGCAGUGGGGAAUUUUGGACAAUGGGCGAAAGCCUGAUCCAGCAAUGCCGCGUGCAGGAAGAAGGCCUUCGGGUUGUAAAGCACUUUAGGUCGGGAGGAAGGUUCGCUGGCUAAUAUCCAGCGGAAUUGACGUUACCGACAGAAUAAGCACCGGCUAACUCCGUGCCAGCCGCCGCAGUAA